rnacentral:rRNA from 1 species
GACGAACGCUGGCGGCGUGCUUAAUACAUGCAAGUCGAACGGAAAGACCCUGCUUUUGUUGCUUUCUCGAGUGGCGAACGGGUGAGUAACACGUGAGUAACCUGCCCUUGACUUUGGGAUAACUUCAGGAAACUGGGGCGAAUACCGGAUAGGAGCUCUUGCUGCAUGGGGUGGGUUGGUAAGUGUCGGCGGUUGGGGAUGGACUCGCUGCUUACCAGCUUGUUUGUGAGGUAGUGGCUUACCAAGGCUUUGACGGGUAGCCGGCCUGAGAGGGUGACCGGGGACAUUGGUACUGAGAUACGGCCCAGAGUCGUACGGGAGGCAGCGGUGGGGAGUAUUGCACAAUGGGCCGAAGCCUGAUGCAGCAACGCCGCGUGCGGGAUGACGGCCUUCUGGUUGUGAACCGCUUUCGCCUGUAAUGUAGCGUGAGUGACGGUAAUGGAUAAAGAAGCACCGGCUAACUACGUG